AAGUCAUAGUUAAGUGGGAAACGAAGUGGGAAGGCUUAGACAGCUAGGAUGUUGGCUUAGAAGCAGCCAUCAUUUAAAGAAAGCGUAAUAGCUCACUAGUCGAGUCGGCCUGCGCGGAAGAUGUAACGGGGCUAAAACUAUGCACCGAAGCUGCGGCAGCGCACGUAAGUGUGUUGGGUAGGGGAGCGUUCUGUAAGCCGUAGAAGGUGUNUUGNGANGNAUGCUGGAGGUAUCAGAAGUGCGAAUGUUGACAUGAGUAGCGAUAAACAGGGUGAAAAGCCCUGUCGCCGAAAACCCAAGGUUUCCUACGCAACGUUCAUCGGCGUAGGGUGAGUCGGCCCCUAAGGCAAGGCAGAGAUGCGUAGUCGAUGGGAAACAGGUUAAUAUUCCUGUACUUGAUUCAAAUGCGAUGUGGGGACGGAGAAGGUUAGGUCAUCGAUCUGUUGGAAUAGAUCGUUUAAGCCGGAUGGGUGGAGGUCGCUAGAUGGUCAAAUCCGGGUGCUCAACACCGAGAAGUGAUGACGAGUGUCUACGGACACGAAGUGACUGAUACCACGCUUCCAGGAAAAGCCACUAAGCUUCAGUUUGAAUGAAACCGUACCGCAAACCGACACAGGUGGGUAGGAUGAGAAUUCUAAGGCGCUUGAGAGAACUCAGGAGAAGGAACUCGGCAAAUUGAUACCGUAACUUCGGGAGAAGGUAUGCCUCUUAUGGUGAAGGAUUUACUCUGUAAGCUAUGAGAGGUCGCAGAGAAUAGGUGGCUGCGACUGUUUAAUAAAAACACAGCACUGUGCAAACACGAAAGUGGACGUAUAGGGUGUGACGCCUGCCCGGUGCUGGAAGGUUAAGAGGACCGGUUAGUAGUCUUUGACUGCGAAGCUGAGAAUUUAAGCCCCAGUAAACGGCGGUGGUAACUAUAACCAUCCUAAGGUAGCGAAAUUCCUUGUCGGGUAAGUUCCGACCUGCACGAAUGGCGUAACGACUUCUCUGCUGUCUCGACCACAGGCCCGGUGAAAUUGCAUUACGAGUAAAGAUGCUCGUUACGCGCGGCAGGACGAAAAGACCCCGGGACCUUCACUAUAGCUUGGUAUUGGUGUUUGGUUCGGUUUGUGUAGGAUAGGUGGGAGACUGUGAAGCGGCCACGCUAGUGGUGGUGGAGUCGUUGGUGAAAUACCACUCUGAUCGUAUUGAGCAUCUCAACCUCGGCCCAUGAUCUGGGUUAGGGACAGUGCCUGGUGGGUAGUUUAACUGGGGCGGUUGCCUCCCAAAAUGUAACGGAGGCGCCCAAAGGUUCCCUCAGCCUGGUUGGCAAUCAGGUGGUGAGUGUAAGUGCACAAGGGAGCUUGACUGUGAGACNGACAUGUCGAGCAGGGACGAAAGUCGGGACUAGUGAUCCGGCACCUACUUGUGGAUGUGGUGUCGCUCAACGGAUAAAAGGUACCCCGGGGAUAACAGGCUGAUCUUCCCCAAGAGUCCAUAUCGACGGGAUGGUUUGGCACCUCGAUGUCGGCUCNUCGCAUCCUGGGGCUGNAGUNGGUCCCAAGGGUUGGGCUGUUCGCCCAUUAAAGCGGUACGCGAGCUGGGUUCAGAACGUCGUGAGACAGUUCGGUCCCUAUCUGCCAUGGGCGUAGGAAAAUUGAGAGGGUUUGCUUCUAGUACGAGAGGACCGAAGUGAACGCACCGCUGGUGUUCGGGUUGUGAUGCCAAUUGCAUUGCCCGGUAGCUACGUGCGGAAUAGAUAAGUGCUGAAAGCAUCUAAGUACGAAACUAGCCUCGAGAUGAGUUUUCCCUGAUGAGAAUCAGUAAGGUCCGUUUGAGACUAAGACGUAGAUAGGUCAGGUGUGUAAGUGUAGUGAUACAUUGAGCUAACUGAUACUAAUGAACCGAGAGUGACGGCUCG
rnacentral:rRNA from 1 species